rnacentral:rRNA from 1 species
UACGUAGGGGGCAAGCGUUGUCCGGAUUUAUUGGGCGUAAAGAGCGUGUAGGCGGCCUGAAAGGUCAGCUGUGAAAACUCGAGGCUCAACCUCGAGACGUCGGUUGAAACCAUCUGGCUAGAGUCCGGAAGAGGAGAGUGGAAUUCCCGGUGUAGCGGUGAAAUGCGCAGAUAUCAGGAGGAACACCGGUGGCGAAGGCGGUUCUCUGGGCAUUACCUGACGCUGAGGAGCGAAAGUGUGGGGAGCGAACAGG